GUCUUGGAUACUGUGAAACAAUUUUAAAAGGGGUAAAAACUCUUUUUCUUUGUUAUCUCCAACAAACUCUUCUUUCAAAACCAUUGUUUCCCAACCAUUUCACGCAGGGAAGAAGUUUUGAUUUUAUAAAGGAGAAUUUGAACUCAACCCACCCUAUGUUUUUGGUUGAAGAAUCUGUCUCGCAAAGAGACUCUACUAUAGGAUCGUCGGGACUUAAUUGGCACCUCAUCUACGGAUGGCAACCCGGAAGAUCGUUUGUUUGAUAACGGUGGCUGGUAUCGGACUACCCUGACGUUGGCACUGGCCAUGAAAAUAGUAGAGUAAUUUUAUUUGCAGCUCUGAAUAUUUUUAUGGUUUAUAUUUUCGCAAGAUUUACAUUUCUGCAUUUUGAAUUAGCUGCUGCUCUUGUAUAUUUAUUAAUGUUUAGCAUUGGCACCACGUUUUUGUUGUUAAACCUUCUACUGGGCAUGAAGAGAAGUUGCAGUAGUAAGCCGGAAAGAGCUUACAGCAAGCCUAAAAGCUUUGAAAGUUAGUAUUUUGUUAAUCUUAUGAUGUUGUAUAUCACGGGAUACCUGGAUAGUUUAGUUUGCUUGCCUUGAUCCCAUGUCAUUUUGUACACUUUGCUGUUGGGAUCUUGUACAUGAUCUUUAUAUGGAUUUUAACUGAAAGCUUGCUAGUAUCGUAUACGAUGGGUCUGAUCUUGGGUGUUUGCAACAGUACUUUUUAAUCCCCUUGUUGUCGGAUACCUAUGUUUUGCAUACGUACUCAUAUAUUUCAUUCCAUUUUCUUAUUCUUUUUAUAAAUUUGUACAUAUUUUGCUGUUAU